CCUACGGGAGGCAGCAGUGAGGAAUAUUGGACAAUGGGCGCAAGCCUGAUCCAGCCAUGCCGCGUGCAGGAAGAAGCAUCUAUGGUGUGUAAACUGCUUUUGUACAGGAAGAAACACUCCCUCGUGAGGGAGCUUGACGGUACUGUAAGAAUAAGGACCGGCUAACUCCGUGCCAGCAGCCGCGGUAAUACGGAGGGUCCGAGCGUUAUCCGGAAUCAUUGGGUUUAAAGGGUCCGUAGGCGGUUUAAUAAGUCAGUGGUGAAAUCUGGUCGCUCAACGAUCAAACGGCCAUUGAUACUGUUAGACUUGAAUUAUAAGGAAGUAACUAGAAUAUGUAGUGUAGCGGUGAAAUGCUUAGAUAUUACAUGGAAUACCAAUUGCGAAGGCAGGUUACUACUUAUGGAUUGACGCUGAUGGACGAAAGCGUGGGGAGCGAACAGGAUUAGAUACCCUGGUGGUCCACGCCGUAAACGAUGGAUACUAGCUGUUCGGAGCAAUCUGAGUGGCUAAGCGAAAGUGAUAAGUAUCCCACCUGGGGAGUACGUUCGCAAGAAUGAAACUUAAAGAGUAGUAGACGUGAGAGUAGCGACGAGACACGAGGGAGGAGG
rnacentral:rRNA from 1 species